GACGAACGCUGGCGGCGUGCCUAAUACAUGCCAGUCGAACGCUUCUUUCCUCCCGAGUGCUUGCACUCAAUUGGAAAGAGGAGUGGCGGACGGGUGAGUAACACGUGGGUAACCUACCCAUCAGAGGGGGAUAACACUUGGAAACAGGUGCUAAUACCGCAUAACAGUUUAUGCCGCAUGGCAUAAGAGUGAAAGGCGCUUUCGGGUGUCGCUGAUGGAUGGACCCGCGGUGCAUUAGCUAGUUGGUGAGGUAACGGCUCACCAAGGCCACGAUGCAUAGCCGACCUGAGAGGGUGAUCGGCCACACUGGGACUGAGACACGGCCUAGACUCCUACGGGAGGCAGCAGUAGGGAAUCUUCGGCAAUGGACGAAAGUCUGACCGAGCAACGCCGCGUGAGUGAAGAAGGUUUUCGGAUCGUAAAACUCUGUUGUUAGAGAAGAACAAGGACGUUAGUAACUGAACGUCCCCUGACGGUAUCUAACCAGAAAGCCACGGCUAACUACGUG
rnacentral:rRNA from 1 species